GCAGGGGAUUCGAUAAGUCAGACAGAGACAGAGAAGAUGAUUGGUCCCCACCGGAGGAGCCCUUCAGUGGAAGGCUGAUGAGUCCAACUACACAGUUCCCUCUGUGUGCUGUUCUGCAGCCGGCCUUGACAGCAUGGAGCUCAUCUGAGCCCCUGGCCCAGUGGAAUGUGGCAGCCACAGCUUAACUCGGCAGCCCCUGGAUGCUAAGGACCUACAACUUUAUGGUUGUGCCUGUGUUUUUCUUUGAACCAGCUGUCAGAAAUACCCUGGGAAAUCUGCGGGGUGGCACCAAGAGGCUGCUGAUGCAGAAGCCUAGAGAGUCCCACUGUUCAUCACCACAUGCUCCUUCUAGCCCGCUGGCCCCACUGCAGAGAAGAUACUUGCCGGAUGCCUCCAGGUGAACGAGAGGGCCCUGGAGGGCAGGCCAGCCUCUCUCCAGCCCCAAAGCAGGGAGCCAGGAGACCAAGUUCUCUGUGUUGAUAUACCAGAUGGCAAGAGCAUCUCUCACUUCAAGCAAGCUUUCACCCCAAUAAAAUAAAAGAAAUGAUGCCUACCCACAACAUGAAAGCAGGUGGACAAAUCCCGUUCCUUCUCCUCACCUGCCCCAGCUGCUGGGACCACCCUUCAAGGAGAGCCAGACUGAUCGCUGGGCACCCCAUUCAACACUGGCAAUUGGACUACCAACUGCCAGCCACAGAGGCGGAGACUCAUGACUACGGAAUAUGCCCUGACUGUGAGGAUCAGCAGUACUCUGAAGACGCCAAUGCCCCCAGACAACAGGAAGCAGUUUAAAGAGCACACCACCCCCAUCCCUGCCUCACCAGUCAUGCCUAAAUAUUUUAUGUUUAUGUUUACCCUCACCUUUUAUAACAAAUGAGAGGGAGGAAUAUUGGAAGACUCCACCCCUAAGCCCACCUUCAAGAACUUAUCAACAGAGGCCACGUCAUCAUCAGCUGCCAAAAUAUGACACAUUUCCACUGUCACCAUGGUUCCCAUGUGCAUGUGCGCUCUACUGCCUUAUAAAAAGCCAGUGCCUUCUCUUCCCACUCUUUCCCCUCCCACCCCCAC